rnacentral:rRNA from 1 species
GAUGAACGCUGGCGGCGUGCCUAAUACAUGCAAGUCGAGCGAACAGACGAGGAGCUUGCUCCUCUGACGUUAGCGGCGGACGGGUGAGUAACACGUGUAUAACCUACCUAUAAGACUGGGAUAACUUCGGGAAACCGGAGCUAAUACCGUAUAAUAUAUUGAACCGUAUGGUUCAAUAGUGAAAGACGGUUUUGCUGUCACUUAUAGAUGGAUCCGCGCCGCAUUAGCUAGUUGGUAAGGUAACGGCUUACCAAGGCAACGAUGCGUAGCCGACCUGAGAGGGUGAUCGGCCACACUGGAACUGAGACACGGUCCAGACUCCUACGGGAGGCAGCAGAAGGGAAUCUUCCGCAAUGGGCGAAAGCCUGGCGGAGCAACGCCGCGUGAGUGAUGAAGGUCUUCGGAUCGUAAAACUCUGUUAUUAGGGAAGAACAAAUGUGUAAGUAACUAUGCACGUCUUGACGGUACCUAAUCAGAAAGCCACGGCUAACUACGUG